AUUGAACGCUGGCGGCAGGCCUAACACAUGCAAGUCGAACGGAGCGGCAGACGGGUGAGGAAUGCCUAGGAAUGUGCAUGGAAGUGGGGGAUGACGUCAGGAAACGGGCGCUAAUACCGCAUACUCUCAGAUGAGGCUAUGUCGGAUUAGCUAGUUGGGGGGGUAAAGGCAUACAAAGGCGACGAUCCGUAACUGGUCUGAGAGGAUGAUCAGCCACACGGGAACUGAGACACGGUCCAGACUCCUACGGGAGGCAGCAGUGGGGAAUAUUGGACAAUGGGCGAAAGCCUGAUGCAGCCAUGCCGCGUGUGUGAAGAAGGUCUUCGGAUUGUAAAGCUCUUUAAGUUGUGAGGCGUUAACAACAGAAUAAGCACCGGCUAACUUCGUGCCAGCAGCCGCGGUAAUUC
rnacentral:rRNA from 1 species